CACAGUGCACAAACCACUCGCGAAAUGGCUAUAGGAUGUUCAGAUUUCCGAAAGAUCCGAAAAGGCGACUCCUGUGGCUGGUAAAGAUCAAGCGCGACAAGUGGCAACCCACGGACCGUUCGUGUUUGUGCAGCGGACAUUUCGAAGAAACCGCAUUUGAGCAGAACCGUGCGGACGGCUGGAAAAAAUUGAAGCCGAAUGCUCUGCCAACAAUCUUUUCGUUCAGAGCGAUGCCUAAGCACAGGAAGCCACCAAAAGAAAGGUUUUUACCACAAGGGACGCCUG